rnacentral:ncRNA from 1 species
AAGACUGUAAGAGUCUUAAAAUCUGUGUGUUAAUAGCAUUUUCAUUGGCCUGGAAUGCGGUUAGUGAAUC